AUACGUAGGGGGCGAGCGUUGUCCGGAAUGAUUGGGCGUAAAGGGCGCGUAGGCGGCCUGUUAAGUCUGGAGUGAAAGUCCUGUUUUCAAGAUGGGAAUUGCUUUGGAUACUGAUGGGCUUGAGUGCAGGAGAGGUUAUCGGAAUUCCCGGUGUAGCGGUGAAAUGCGUAGAGAUUGGGAGGAACACCAGUGGCGAAGGCGACUUACUGGACUGUAACUGACGCUGAGGCGCGAAAGUGUGGGGAGCAAACAGGAUUAGAUACCCUGGUAGUCCACACUGUAAACGAUGAAUGCUAGGUGUAGGGGGUAUCGACCCCUUCUGUGCCGCAGUCAACACAAUAAGCAUUCCGCCUGGGGAGUACGGCCGCAAGGUUGAAACUCAAAUGAAUUGACGGGG
rnacentral:rRNA from 1 species